rnacentral:rRNA from 1 species
UACGUAGGGUGCAAGCGUUGUCCGGAAUUAUUGGGCGUAAAGAGCUCGUAGGCGGUUUGUCGCGUCUGCUGUGAAAACCCGAGGCUCAACCUCGGGCCUGCCGUGGGUACGGGCAGACUAGAGUGCGGUAGGGGAGAUUGGAAUUCCUGGUGUAGCGGUGGAAUGCGCAGAUAUCAGGAGGAACACCAGUGGCGAAGGCGGUUGCCUGGGGCUUUGCUGACGCUGAUGCGCGAAAGCGUGGGGAGCGAUCCGG